rnacentral:rRNA from 1 species
GAUGAACGCUGGCGGCGUGCUUAACACAUGCAAGUCGAACGGUGAACGAGGGAGCUUGCUCCCUCCGGAUCAGUGGCGAACGGGUGAGUAACACGUGAGCAAUCUGCCCCGAACUCUGGGAUAAGCGCUGGAAACGGCGUCUAAUACCGGAUACGACGCGCGAAGGCAUCUUCUGCGCGUGGAAAGAAUUUCGGUUCGGGAUGAGCUCGCGGCCUAUCAGCUAGUGGGGGAGGUAACGGCUCACCAAGGCGACGACGGGUAGCCGGCCUGAGAGGGUGACCGGCCAAACUGGGACUGAGACACGGCCCAGACUCAUACGGGAGGCAGCAGUGGGGAAUAUUGCACAAUGGGCGCAAGCCUGAUGCAGCAACGCCGCGUGAGGGACGACGGCCUUCGGGUUGUAAACCUCUUUUAGUAGGGAAGAAGCGAAAGUGACGGUACCUGCAGAAAAAGCACCGGCUAACUACGUGCCAGCCGCCGCCGUAAGAC